UUUUUCCUAUCAAACAGUGGAGAAUCGCGAGUCAAACCUUCUCCGGAUUCUGAUAGAGAGGAAUUUGGAGAGUAUAUGGAUUCCAUGGAUGAAGAUACUUUAUCCAACAUGAACCCCGAAACUUCUCCGGCUAGGGGCCAACUCUUCCCAUAUUAAAGAAAGUUAUUGAUUUGAGUAACGUAUUCAGUAUUUGAAGAAGGAGCACGAGAUCCUGUCUAGUCAAGUGAAGUCUUUUUUAGCCAUGACAUGUAGGAACUCUUCAGCUCCUCAAAGUACCCAACGAUUGAAGG